rnacentral:rRNA from 1 species
UACGGAGGUUGCGAGCGUUAAUCGGAAUUACUGGGCGUAAAGCGUGCGCAGGCGGUUUGUUAAGCGAGAUGUGAAAGCCCCGGGCUCAACCUGGGAACCGCAUUUCGAACUGGCAAACUAGAGUCUUGUAGAGGGGGGUAGAAUUCCAGGUGUAGCGGUGAAAUGCGUAGAGAUCUGGAGGAAUACCGGUGGCGAAGGCGGCCCCCUGGACAAAGACUGACGCUCAGGCACGAAAGCGUGGGGAGCAAACAGG